rnacentral:rRNA from 1 species
AGAGACAGCAGUCGCCACGGUAAUACGAAGGGUGCAAGCGUUACUCGGAAUUACUGGGCGUAAAGCGUGCGUAGGUGGUGGUUUAAGUCCGUUGUGAAAGCCCUGGGCUCAACCUGGGAAUUGCAGUGGAUACUGGGUCACUAGAGUGUGGUAGAGGAUAGUGGAAUUUCCGGUGUAGCAGUGAAAUGCGUAGAGAUCGGAAGGAACAUCUGUGGCGAAGGCGACUAUCUGGGCCAACACUGACACUGAGGCACGAAAGCGUGGGGAGCAAACAGGAUUAGAUACCCCGGUAGUCCCUGUCUCUUAUAC